GUAGGUGUUAGCGUAGGCAAUUAGAUUACCCGAGUAUAGGGUAUCCUUGUAUCCGUUUUAAUUUGCGUAUGUGUGCUUGAUGUAAGUCACCUAUUGCCUUGGGCAGUCUGUAAGUGACUAUGUCACCUAGUUGUCAUGAAUGCAAUUUCCAGUUUGUCAAAAACUUUGGUUUUAAAAAGUUGGCACAUGCACGUAUUGGACCCC
rnacentral:lncRNA from 1 species